CAUUCAUGGAGAGUUUGAUCCUGGCUCAGGACGAACGCUGGCGGCGUGCCUAAUACAUGCAAGUCGAGCGGACUUUGCCUUCGGGUAAAGUUAGCGGCGGACGGGUGAGUAACACGUGGGUAACCUGCCCAUAAGACUGGGAUAACAUUCGGAAACGAAUGCUAAUACCGGAUACGCGAAACGGUCGCAUGACCGGAUCGGGAAAGGCGGAGCAAUCUGCCACUUAUGGAUGGACCCGCGGCGCAUUAGCUAGUUGGUGGGGUAACGGCUCACCAAGGCGACGAUGCGUAG
rnacentral:rRNA from 1 species